CGCUUUAGAUAAAGAUUUGUGAGCUCGAACGUUUCUACAACCAUCGAAGUUUGAUAAUUUGGAUCUCUAUUCGAGCCAGAGUCCGUGUGUGCAGAUGGGUAUUUGUGUUCGCAAUUGCUGCUCAUCGUCAGCUAAUGCUUUUGCUGAAGAGUUGGCCGUUUGUAACUACCAAGUGUUCCUCAGCUUCAGAGGACCGGAUGUCCGCCGCAACUUCCUCGAGUGCUUCUCCGACCACCUCACAGGCUCGGGGUUUAUAGUAUUCACAGACCGCGAAGAGAUUGAGUAUGGUGAAAGGAUCGAUACCAAGAUCGUGGAAGCCAUCAAGCGUUCCGACGUCUGCAUCCCUAUCUUGUCCAACAACUUCGCCUCCAGCCCAGCUUGCCUGAUGGAAGUGGCCCAAAUGGUGGAGUCAGAAAAAACCAUUCUGCCCAUUUUCUACGGCGUCAAGCCGGGCGUUGUUUGCCGCCAGCAAGGAACAUAUGGAGAGUCCUUCGUCGAUCAAGAAAAGCGCAGUGAUACCGAGACAAUCAGUAAGUGGAAGACUUCUCUGGCAAAUGUUGCUGGGAUAAAGGGAUUCGAAUUGGAGGAUGUCAGCAGUGGGUAUCACGAGCUUCUAAGAAAUGUCGUUUCUAAACUUUGGCAACUCUUGGAGAUGGGUAAGGAAGACGUGACUGAAAAUUUAGUUGGAAUACACAGCAACGUGCAGGAGAUGAUGCGAAAGCUUGGUGUCCAUAACGUAGAUGGACAAGUUGCCGAGGGAAGAUGCGUGGUUGCAGUGUGUGGUCUUCCCGGAGUUGGCAAAACCACUCUCGCAAAGGUGGUAUACAACAAAAUCAGUCACCUCUUUGAUGCUUGCAGUUUCCUUAAAGACGUUCGGGCUGAGACUGCACAAAAAAAUUUGGUAUCUCUGCAGAAUAAGUUAAUUCGAGAUCUCAAGAGAGGAAAUUUCCAAGAAGUGAAAUUCUCCGAUCAAGGCACCAAAGUUAUAAAAUGCCUAUUCCGACGAAAAAGAGUUCUCAUUGUCUUGGAUGACGUGGACGACUUCGAACAAAUCAAACCGUUGGCCGAGAAUCUAACUUGGUUUGGCCCGGGAAGUAGGAUCAUCCUAACAACCCGAAGGAAAGAUGUUAUUAAGCAUUACAAGAUUCAAGAAAUCAAUGAACACGAGGUCUUACCUAUGAAUGAAAAUCAUGCUCUUGAACUUUUCUGUAAGCAUGCUUUUCGACCGGGUCAUCCCGAUGACUACGGUUCUCUGCCAACCGAAAUCAUUUCGGCCGUUGGGAAGCUUCCUUUUGCUAUUGAAAUUGUGGGGUCAUAUCUGAAUGGGAAGAGCCCAGAAAUAUGGAGAGAGACUUUGGAUAAAUUAAAAGGAGAGCUGGAAAAAGGAGUGGAACCAAUGUUGAAGGCAAGUUAUGAUCUUUUGGACGAAAACACAAAAGAAAUAUUCCUUGAUAUAGCAUGUUUCUUUAUAGGGGUUGAUAAGACAAUUCCCUAUUACAUGUGGGAAGCCCGUAAACGUUUCCCAAAUAGAGGUGUUCAUGAACUUCAAAAUAUGUCUUUUAUAAAAAUUAGCGAAGCAAAAGAAUUUUGGAUGCAUGACCAAUUAAAAAUCCUAGGAAGAGAACUUGUGAAGAAGGAAAAUCCUAAAAACCCCGGGAAGCGCAGUAGGCUGUGGGAUUACAAAGAUGUCCAAACAACAUUGCGGAAAAAGAAGUGUACUGAAAAUGUUGAAGCUCUCCGUGUAACCCCCAAUUAUAAUCAAGAUGAACCGGAUUGCAACUGUCUUCAUUAUGACGAUUUUCAUCAUCUAUCAAAUCUGAAGUUUCUUGAAUUGACUAAUGUUGGUAUUGAAGGAAAUCCUGAGAAUCUUCUACUUUCAAACCUAUUAUGGCUUGAUUGGCAUGGAUGCCCUGAGAAAUCUAAUUUGUUUGCAUUGGAUAUGAAGAAACUGGUAAUUCUCAACUUAUGUUCAAGCCGAGUCACGUUGAACUUGGAAGACUGGGAAAAACUGAUGCUGAAUGCUGGGAGUUUGAAAGUCUUGAACCUAAAAGGUUGUCCUUGGAUCACUGCAUCUCUGGGAUUCCCUAACUCAAUGUCCUUAGAAUGCUUGAUCCUGGAAGGUUGUUUGUUAGCAACUUCAACAAUUGAUGAAUCCAUUUCUAGAUUAGAGAAUCUAGUUUCCUUAAACAUGAAGCAUUGCUUAUCAGUUAAACAUUUGCCGCAAGCACUGUGUUCCCUGAAAGCAUUGAAAGAGCUCCUCAUUGAUGGAACUAAAAUUGAAAGACUUCAUUUCGAGGAAGGCUCUCUGCCAGCACUUGAAAUUCUCAGUGCUUGCGAAUGUGAAGUAUUGGGUGAAGUCACUGAGUCCAUUGGAUUGUUAAAGAAUCUUCAGAAGCUUACUUUAAGAAGUUGCAGACAGCUAAAAGGACUUCCACAUUUCAUAGGAAAGCUUGUUUGGCUAAGGCAAAUGGACCUGUCGUACACCUUAAUCAAUGAAUUGCCUUCUUCUGUCAAGGAUUUGAAAAAUCUUCAAGUGCUAAAGAUGGUUCAUACUUACCUAGAAGGAUUUCCUGAAGCCAUAAAAGAUCUUGAGAAGCUUCAAGAGUUGGAUUUCACCCACUGCGAAAGUUUGAGUGGAGAUUGCGACAUCACAGGAUUGUCUUCUUUGAGAAUCUUGAGAUUAAAAUGCACAAGAAUUUCUCGUGUGCUUGCCAGAGAUCAUAGGCAACUUAGUCUCUACAUCCUUGAGUUAGAUGAUGGGGUCGAUAAGCAGACAGUCUCAUAAUUUCACUCUAGCUCAGACUUGUUACUGACAAAAUGCAGAUGAUCCUGUGUAUGCCAUGCUUUAGUCUUGAAGGUCCAAAACUAAGAUUACAUAACUAUGGAUUUCAGAGCCUAUGAAUUCUGCAUCAGUGUGCAUGAAUAAUGUCAAGCUAUGUUUCUAAAGAGCUUAAAGUUGAAGCGUCUUUAGAAUGUUUGAAGUGUGAGUCAUUCAACCAUAUUUUGGAAAGAGAGAUCUAGCAUUUGGAGAGAAACCAUAUUUUGUUCCCGUUUCCUUUUUGUGCUUGAUGACGCUACUUUUCUUUUGACAGCAUGUAUCUGGACCUUCUUAUCGUAGUUUACUCCUUGUAUCUGUGAUCUUUGUAUGUCUCCAUCAUCUGUGGCCGUCCCAUGAUUGGCAGGUGUAACUGCAGUUGAUUUAUUUAUU